rnacentral:rRNA from 1 species
UACGGAGGGGGCAAGCGUUGUUCGGAAUUACUGGGCGUAAAGGGUGCGUAGGCGGGUCUUUAAGUCAGGGGUGAAAUCCUGGAGCUCAACUCCAGAACUGCCUUUGAUACUGAAGAUCUUGAGUCCGGGAGAGGUGAGUGGAAUUCCCAGUGUAGCGGUGAAAUGCGUAGAUAUUGGGAGGAACACCAGUGGCGAAGGCGGCUCACUGGACCGGUUCUGACGCUGAGGCGCGAAAGCGUGGGGAGCAAACGGG